CAGCAGAACACCUUAAUUACGCUACACGCCCGUAGAUUCUUAAUUUUGACUCUAGUUCACCCUGGCUGUUUUCCUACUCUACAGUAUCAUGGUGAUGUGUUCUCUUAUGUCUGCUCAAGCCAUCAGACCGCGCAAAGGACUUGGAGCAGAUGGCACAACGGUAUGGUCGGUCACCUGUAUGAAUGCUGCGCAGGUGUUUCGUCAAAACACUUUUCAAUGAGAAGCUCAGAGGGCAUGAAGGACAUUGAAAUGGCUUCUCGCCUGUGUGGAUGCGCAGGUGUUCCAUAAGCGCAUACUUUUGCAAGAAUCUCUGAAGGCAUGUAGCGCACUGACAUGGCUUCUCGCCUGUAUGGAUGCGCAGGUGUCGCUUCAUCACAGACUGACGUGAGAAGCUCUGAGGGCAUGAAGGGCACUGAAAUGGCUUCUCGCCUGUGGGGGUGCGCAGGUGUACUUUCAGGUGGGCCUUUAGUGAGAAGCACUGAGAGCACACAUGGCAUAUGAACGGACGCUGGCCAGUAUGGACAAACAGG